rnacentral:rRNA from 1 species
GAUGAACGCUGGCGGCGUGCCUACCACAUGCAAGUCGAACGGACUUACAUUGAAGCCUAGCGAUAUGUAAGUUAGGGGCGGACGGGUGAGUAACGCGUGGGUAACCUGCCUUGUACUGGGGGACAACAGUUGGAAACGACUGCUAAUACCGCAUAAGCGCACAGCUUCGCAUGAAGCAGUGUGAAAAACUCCGGUGGUACAAGAUGGACCCGCGUCUGAUUAGCUAGUUGGAGGGGUAACGGCCCACCAAGGCAACAAUCAGUAGCCGGUCUGAGAGGAUGAACGGCCACUUUGGGACUGAGACACGGCCCAAACUCCUACGGGAGGCAGCAGUGGGGAAUCUUCCGCAAUGGACAAAAGUCUGACGGAGCAACGCCGCGUGAACAAUGACGGCCUUCGGGUUGUAAAGUUCUGUUAUACGGGACGAAUGGUACGACGGUCAAUACCCGUCGUAAGUGACGGUACCGUAAGAGAAAGCCACGGCUAACUACGUG